GUGCUUGCUUCAACAGCUCAUGCACUAAAAUUAGAAUGAUACAGAGAAGAUUAGCAUGGCCUCUGCUCAAGGAUGGCAUGCAAAUUUGUGAAGGUAUCUCAUCCCUG
ensembl:snRNA U6 U6 spliceosomal RNA